GGUAGCCUAGUGGUUAGAGUGGAGGGGCGGCAGGUAGCCUAGUGGUUAGAGUGUAGGGGCGGCAGGUAGCCUAGUGGUUAGAGUGUAGAGGAGGCAGGUAGCCUAGUGGUUAGAGUGUAGGGGCGGCAGGUAGCCUAGUGGUUAGAGUGUAGGGGUGGCAGGUAGCCUAGUGGUUAGAGUGUAGGGACGGCAGGUAGCCUAGUGGUUAGAGUGGAGGGACGGCAGGUAGCCAAGUGGUUAGAGUGGAGGGACGGCAGGUAGCCUAGUGGU
rnacentral:lncRNA from 1 species